AAAACGAAAGGAAUUUUUGUUCAGCUACUAUAAAUGUUGGUGAAAGCAGAUAUCGCUUUAUCAUUAAAAAAAUUGAUUAAAAGUGGCUGCCAUCGGUAGUUUACCUCAUAAACUCAAACAAUCACAGUAACAAACAAAAACGAAACGAUUGUCAAAUUGCUAAAAUUUGUCAAACUUUAGGAAAAACCUCUACGAAAGACUGACUUCGAUGUAAAACAUUAGAUGAUAUUAAAUUGCCAGUUUUUGCAGAACAGUUUCUUUCGUGUGGUCCAAAAGAUCCUAUUAAGGAUAAGUUUAAUAAAUUUCAUUUUCAGACCGAUAUUGACAAUAUGGUAGGAAACCUGCGUGAGAAUAGAGGGGGAAAACUAUGCGAAAGUGAAGCCUCGGCAAAGUGUUACGCAAGGAACAUCAUGGAAAAACUAAUUAAUGUCACUAAGCAACACUAAUUCAACAGCGUCUGGUUCGUAUCAAGAAAUGGAUGUCAUACAGGCUGAAGUGGGCAUUGAGGCAAACGCUGAAGAGCAAAAUUUAGAAGCGAAGAUUGCUGCAGUCACACUUAAUUGUGACAUUUGCAAAAAGUUUUCAACGUCAAGUUUUAGAGUCUACAGUGCGCAUGUGAAAAAACACCAACAGGAUAAUGAUUUUGUCGUGGAUAUAGCCUUAAAAAAGCAAGUCAGAUCAGGGCGGGUAAGAAGAAAACACAACAUUGGCUCUCGAAGCAAAAAGUUUCGUUUGCAUUCUACCAAUUUAACGUUGAACGCUCAACUUAGUAAUUCACAGUUAGUUUUACCUAAAACUGCGAAGCUAGUAUGUCCGCAUUGUAAGUUCACCGCUGAUAAGUUUUCGAACUUGAGCAUUCACGUCAAGAGAAAACACACUAAUUUGAUUCAGCCACAGUCGUUUAUGUGUCAACGCUGUCAUUUUUCCGCUGCUUCACGGCAAUUAUUGCAGGCCCAUCUUAAUGAAUUAAGUCACUACGAGCGGAAAUGCCAAAUAUGUAAUGAGGCUUUUGAAGGGAAUUCGCAAUAUCUGGAUCAUCUCGGACUUCACUUCAGUGGAAUUUCUGUGUCACCGAUAAAAUGUUCUGGUACUGAAAAUGUGGAAUCGAAGAAAGUUAGUAGUCUACACGAUGCUCUAAAAGAAGCUGCUCUACUUGAGUCUGAAGUUCGUACUAAUGCUUCUUCGUGGUUUUUCUCCAAAGGUAAAAGCAGGAGUCUCCCAUUGGUUCAAGAUAUAUCCCCUUCCGUUUUCAACAGCUCACUUACUUCAAGAAUAUGCAGCGCGCCCAGUUCAAAAACAACAAUGAUGGAGGAAUCGGACGUGAAAAUGGAUAUGCAACCUUCUGUGCUUGGAGCUGCAACAGAAACUGAAAUGUGCAUCGACUCCGUAACAUGUAACGUGGAAACGCAAACGGAGGGAGCUACCACAGCUAAAAUGUCAACAAAUGAGCUCAUUCGAGGCACAGAAAUGAGCUCAGAAAUUUCUACGAAGGCU